UUUUCUUUAGUUAACACUAACCUGAUGGGACAAAUUGAUCGUAUGGGUAUCAAAUUCAGAGGGAGAGCUCAGAAACAAAAAUUUGAAGAACUAGCAGAGAGAGAGAGAUGCUACCUAGUUUUUAUGCUGAUGAUUGGGCAAUGACUGCCCUUGGACUAAGAGAGAGUGUCCUGUAUUUGCUGAGUCAAAUAGGAUGGGAAACCACUCCUAUUCGAAGACAACUUGUCACUUACCGGAGGCUAACUCUAGAAUUCCUUAGCUCCCUGAUUUAUCUAUAAAACCAUGGAAAAGGAAUAAGCCGAGGUUUCAUUCAGUUCAGGAUGUUCAAUAUGGAGUAUCAAUUUAACAUUCAAGAAUUUACUAACCUUUUAGGGUUCCCUACUUCUUUU
rnacentral:lncRNA from 1 species